CUCAGCAGGGUUAAUAGUGAGCAGGUCACUCCCAGACUCAGGAGACAAGCAUCCAGCCAGGGGAACUUCAGGCACAAAGACCUUCACUGGAAGGAGGAGAUGGGGGCUUGGGCAGCCUGGGAGUUGUGAUGAGAGCAGUCUGGGUGAGAGCUGAGUACAGAGAAGUGGGCGGAGACCAGAUUACACAGGGCCUCACCAGCUUGAAAAGAAAACAGACCAGGCACACAGAGAACAAGUGCUAUGGGAACAAUCAAUGGACAUUUAAUCCAGCCUUGCAGAAUCCAGGAGGACUUCCUAGAGGAGAGUGAACUGGACAUUCCCUGUCUUCUCUGGAAGCAUGAGAAAUGGAGGAAAGAGAUCUGUCUUUUGGUUUUCCAGAUCCAAAUACUCUGGAUCCCUUGGCCUAUGCUCUUGUCCCAGGUCUCUCUCUGCACAGCCCCUCCUUCCCAGUUCUGGUCACCACUCUGUCUCCUUUCCCCUAUGGGGUUGGAGGUAGGAACAGAGUCCCAACGGAAUUGGGCAAUCCCUCCUAGUUUCUUUAUACCCUGCCCAUACUCUGGUCAACAACCUCUUCAUUUUAAAAAUUCAUUUAAAUUAACACAUUAUUUUGAAGGA